rnacentral:rRNA from 1 species
GACGAACGCUGGCGGCGUGCUUAACACAUGCAAGUCGAACGGAAAGGCCCUGCUUUUGUGGGGUGCUCGAGUGGCGAACGGGUGAGUAACACGUGAGUAACCUGCCCUUGACUUUGGGAUAACUUCAGGAAACUGGGGCUAAUACCGGAUAGGAGCUCCUGCUGCAUGGUGGGGGUUGGAAAGUUUCGGCGGUUGGGGAUGGACUCGCGGCUUAUCAGCUUGUUGGUGGGGUAGUGGCUUACCAAGGCAUUGACGGGUAGCCGGCCUGAGAGGGUGACCGGCCACAUUGGGACUGAGAUACGGCCCAGACUCCUACGGGAGGCAGCAGUGGGGAAUAUUGCACAAUGGGCGGAAGCCUGAUGCAGCAACGCCGCGUGCGGGAUGACGGCCUUCGGGUUGUAAACCGCUUUCGCCUGUGACGAAGCGUGAGUGACGGUAAUGGGUAAAGAAGCACCGGCUAACUACGUGCCAGCAGCCGCGGUGAUACGUAGGGUGCGAGCGUUGUCCGGAUUUAUUGGGCGUAAAGGGCUCGUAGGUGGUUGAUCGCGUCGGAAGUGUAAUCUUGGGGCUUAACCCUGAGCGUGCUUUCGAUACGGGUUGACUUGAGGAAGGUAGGGGAGAAUGGAAUUCCUGGUGGAGCGGUGGAAUGCGCAGAUAUCAGGAGGAACACCAGUGGCGAAGGCGGUUCUCUGGGCCUUUCCUGACGCUGAGGAGCGAAAGCGUGGGGAGCGAACAGGCUUAGAUACCCUGGUAGUCCACGCUGUAAACGGUGGGUACUAGGUGUGGGGUCCAUUCCACGGGUUCCGUGCCGUAGCUAACGCUUUAAGUACCCCGCCUGGGGAGUACGGCCGCAAGGCUAAAACUCAAAGGAAUUGACGGGGCCCCGCACAAGCGGCGGAGCAUGCGGAUUAAUUCGAUGCAACGCGUAGAACCUUACCUGGGUUUGACAUGGAUCGGGAGUGCUCAGAGAUGGGUGUGCCUCUUUUGGGGUCGGUUCACAGGUGGUGCAUGCCUGUCGUCAGCUCGUGUCGUGAGAUGUUGGGUUAAGUCCCGCAACGAGCGCAACCCUUGUUCACUGUUGCCAACACGUUAUGGUGGGGACUCAGUGGAGACCGCCGGGGUCAACUCGGAGGAAGGUGGGGAUGACGUCAAGUCCUCAUGCCCCUUAUGUCCAGGGCUUCACGCAUGCUACAAUGGCUGGUACAGAGAGUGGCGAGCCUGUGAGGGUGAGCGAAUCUCGGAAAGCCGGUCUCAGUUCGGAUUGGGGUCUGCAACUCGACCUCAUGAAGUCGGAGUCGCUAGUAAUCGCAGAUCAGCAACGCUGCGGUGAAUAAGGGCCCGGGGCU